rnacentral:lncRNA from 1 species
CUUCUCAUAGGCUAAGGAUUAUAAUUUUUCAAUAACAAGUAUUUUUAUUUUGACUCAAAAGGGAUUGUUAAAGGAUCACACUCUCACAAAGCUUGCCUUUAUUUGGCCAAGUAGUUUUCUUUUCAAUUAAGACAUAGUGUCAACCAAUAGCAAUAAUUAUGCAAUAUCAACUAAGUUAAAUGCAUGCCUACACUCAAUAUAUCUAUGUAAAACAUGAGGAUUCACACAACUCACUUAGUUAGGUUUUGUAUGAUUCUAAUUUCAACCAACAUUUUUACACAAAACA